CCCCAGCCCUGGAGUCCCGGUGUUCCCAUUCUGUGGUCAGGACAGAACACAGAUCCUUCACUAUGGAGUUUGUGCUUGGCUGGGUUUUCCUUGUUGCUGUUUUAAAAGGUGUCCAGUGUGAGGUGCAGCUGGUGGAGUCUGGGGGAGGCCUGGUGAAGCCUGGGGGCUCCCUGAGACUCUCCUGUGCAGCCUCCGGAUUUACCUUCAGUAGCUAUGACAUGAGCUGGGUCCGCCAGGCUCCAGAGAAGGGGCUGGAGUGGGUCUCAGGUAUUUAUUAUGAUGGAAGUAGCACAAGCUAUGCCGACUCCGUGAAGGGCCGAUUCACCAUCUCCAGAGACAACGCCAAGAACACACUCUCUCUGCAGAUGAACAACCUGAGAGUCGAGGACACGGCCAUGUAUUUCUGUGCGAGAUACACAGUAGGGGACAUCAUUGUGAGCCCAGACAAAAACCUCCCUUCAGAAGGGGAUCAGCACCACCAGGGUGUGCACACUCUGCACAAUUCUGGUUUGUAUUCCCUGGAGCAGGUGCAGAUGGAGGUUACAGGGCGUGUUGGAAGUCCACCUCCAGGGACUGGAGAGUGGUCUGAUGCCAAUAUUUCCUCCCACCAAUCAGCAGGGAUAGACUUGAGCCAGCAGCACAUCGCCCACGAGUGUGAGCUGAGCCACUAA